rnacentral:rRNA from 1 species
UACAGAGGGUGCGAGCGUUAAUCGGAAUUACUGGGCGUAAAGCGCACGUAGGCGGAUAUUUAAGUUAGGGGUGAAAUCCCAGGGCUCAACCCUGGAACUGCCUUUAAUACUGGGUAUCUCGAGUCCGAGAGAGGUGAGUGGAAUUCCGAGUGUAGAGGUGAAAUUCGUAGAUAUUCGGAGGAACACCAGUGGCGAAGGCGGCUCACUGGCUCGGUACUGACGCUGAGGUGCGAAAGCGUGGGGAGCAAACAGG